rnacentral:lncRNA from 10 species
CACUCUUCCAUGGUGAUGCAUGAUGCAAGAUCUCUAAGCCAGGACUGCUUAGAUAUGGACAAGUUCUGUGUUUUUGUUUUUGUUUUUUGUUUUUUUGUGUGUGUUUUGUUUUUUGUUUUUUGAGACAGACUCUCAUUCUGUCACCCAGGCUGGAGUGCAGCGGCGUGAUCUCAGCUCACUGCAACCUCGGCCUCACGGGUUCAAAUGAUUCUCCUGCCUCAGUCUCCUGAGUAGCUGGGAUUGCAGGUGCUCGCCACCAUGCCCGGCUAAUUUUUGUAUUUUAAUAGAGACAGGGUU